GUGCUCACUUCCACAGCACAUAUAAUAAAACUGGAAUGAUUCAGAGAAGAUUAGCAUGGCCCCUGAGCAAGGAUGACAUGCAAAUUCAUGAAGCAUUCCAUAUUUUU
rnacentral:snRNA from 1 species